UUUGGUGACGCUGCGGCAGGCUUAACACAUGCAAGUCGAACGGUAAGGCCCUGCUUGCAGGGUACACGAGUGGCGCACGGGUGCGUAACGCGUAUGCUACCUACCUUCAUCUGAGGAAUAGCCCCGAGAAAUUGGGAUUAAUACCUCAUAAUAUCGUAAAACAGCAUUGUUUAAUGAUUAAAGCUCCGGCGGUUGAAGAUGGGCAUGCGUGACAUUAGGUUGUUGGUGAGGUAACGGCUCACCAAGCCAACGAUGUCUAGGGGUUCUGAGAGGAUUAUCCCCCACACUGGUACUGAGACACGGACCAGACUCCUACGGGAGGCAGCAGUGAGGAAUAUUGGGCAAUGGACGAGAGUCUGACCCAGCCAUGCCGCGUGCAGGAUGACGGCCCUAUGGGUUGUAAACUGCUUUUAUACGGGAAGGAACCCGGAGACGUGUCUCCGGCUGACGGUACCGUAAGAAUAAACACCCGCUUAACUCCGUGCCAGCAGCCGCGGUAAUACGGAGGGUGCAAGCGUUGUUCGGAUUCACUGGGUAUAAAGGGUGCGCAGGCGGCCUGUUAAGUCAGGGGUGAAAUAUGACGGCUCAACCGUCAAACUGCCCCUGAAACUGCCAGGCUUGAGUCCGGGAGAGGAAGGUGGAAUUCCAGGUGUAGCAGGUGAAAUGCGUAAAUAUCUGGAGGAACACCAGUGGCGAAGGCGGCCUUCUGGCCUGGAACUGACGCUCAGGCACGAAAGCAUGGGGAGCGAACGGGAUUAGAUACCCCGGUAGUCCAUGCCGUAAACGAUGGGUACUAGGUGUUGGAGGAUUCUACCCCUUCAGUGCCGCAGCUAACGCAUUGAGUACCCCACCUGGGGAGUACGAUCGCAAGGUUGAAACUCAAAGGAAUUGACGGGGGCCCGCACAAGCGGUGGAGCAUGUGGUUUAAUUCGAUGCAACGCGAAGAACCUUACCUGGGCUUGACAUGCAGGGGACAGGUGUAGAAAUACAUCCUUCUUCGGACUCCUGUACAGGUGCUGCAUGGCUGUCGUCAGCUCGUGUCGUGAAAUGUUAGGUUAAGUCCUGCAACGAGCGCAACCCCUAUCUUUAGUUGCCAUCAGGUAAUGCUGGGGACUCUAGAGAGACUGCCGGUGAUAAACCGGAGGAAGGUGGGGACGACGUCAAGUCAGCAUGGCCCUUACGCCCAGGGCUACACACGUGCUACAAUGGUCGGUACAGUGGGCAGCAAUACAGCGAUGUGGAGCGAAUCCCAAAAAGCCGGCCUCAGUUCGGAUUGUAGUCUGCAACUCGACUACAUGAAGUUGGAAUCGCUAGUAAUCGCGUAUCAGAACGACGCGGUGAAUACGUUCCCGGGCCUUGUACACACCGCCCGUCAAGUCAACCGAGUUGGCUGCACCCCAAGUCGCUGAGCUAACCUCUUCGGAGGAGGCAGGUGCCCAAG
rnacentral:rRNA from 1 species